rnacentral:rRNA from 1 species
UGAUACGUAGGGUCCGAGCGUUGUCCGGAAUUAUUGGGCGUAAAGGGCUUGUAGGCGGUUUGUCACGUCGAAAGUGAAAACUCAGGGCUCAACCCUGAGCCUGCUUCCGAUACGGGCAAACUAGAGGGAUGCAGGGGAGAAUGGAAUUCCUGGUGGAGCGGUGGAAUGCGCAGAUAUCAGGAGGAACACCGGUGGCGAAGGCGGUUCUCUGGGCAUUUCCUGACGCUGAGAAGCGA